CGUUUCUGUGAGUUGAUUGGAAUAUAAUCUUCACAUACAUAUUGGUACAGAAUCUGGUUUCCUUUGGUGUUUCAUCCACAGCUGGAAAUCGUUUUGGUCAAAUAAAAAUGGAUAUUUACGGAAUAAACGGUGUAAGAUUUUCCUUUCUUUUUCUUCACUCAUUUCUGGUUCAUCAGUCUCAGUUGUGUAUUGGGGGAGUUCAUGUGGAGUUUGAUCAGUUUACAAAGACCAAGGCCAUGUUAAGGGGAACUUAUUCAUUGUUCACUGCAGCUACAUGUGUAUUGGUAAAUUGUAAUCUUUCUUAGUCUUUGCUCUAACAUGAAAUGGAAUCUAGUUUUUUUAGUCUUUUAAAUCACCUUAGGUUCUCUGAUGUGCUUCUGCAUUUGCUGAUAGAUUCGACUGGAAGAGGAUGACACAUGUAACUGAUAAGGUGUUAAGUUUAUGUGUGGUGUUAGUUUAUGAUUUUGUUGGCCUUUGUACCUAUAGUUUGUUCUUGUAGACAAGGCCUUCAACUUGAAAGGAAGGAAUUCAUUUGAACUUAUUGGGGCACCUGCAUGGGUCAGGAAUAGUAAAGUGGUUUUCAGGACGGUGGAGCCAAUAUUGUUAAUUUUUUGUUGUGGUUUGUUUUAAUGAUAUAUUUUUAAGAGUUGUUUGGAAUGUGAUUCUCACUUCAUAUUGGUACAGAAUCUGGUUUUCUUUGGUGCUUUUUCAUCCACAGCUGGAAAUCCUUUGGUCAAAUAAUAUUCUAUUCUUAUGGAGGAAAGGGUGUAAAAUUCUUCUCUUUUCUUUGCUCAUUUCUGGUUCAUCAGUUUCAGUGUGUGCAUUGGGGUUGUUUAUGUGGAGUCUGAUCAUUUUACAAGGUCUGAGCUGUGAAGGGAAACUAUUUUGCGGCUACAUUCACAUUGGCGAUUACAUCUAUCUUUGCUCUACAUGAACUGGAAUCUGGACUCUCUUCAGUUUAGUAUAAAAUGCCUUAAGGUUUUUGAUGUUCCUCCGUGUGCAGAUAGCUUUGAUGGGGAGAGGAUGACACAUGAAUCAGGAAUUUCCAAUAUAGCUUAAUGACAGUUCCUUGGGGUCUUCUUGGAUGUUCAGUUAUAUAAAGAUUGGUCACCAGUUGGUAACUUCCAUGCUAUGGUACUGAUAUGCACAAUGAAAAAAUUGAUUGAUUGCAUGGUAA